rnacentral:rRNA from 1 species
UACGUAGGGGGCAAGCGUUGUCCGGAUUUAUUGGGCGUAAAGCGCUCGCAGGUGGUUCGUCGCGUCGUGCGUGAAAGACCCCGGCUCAACUGGGGGAGGUCGUGCGAUACGGGCGGACUGGAGGCCAGUAGGGGGAUGCGGAAUUCCGGGUGUAGUGGUGGAAUGCGUAGAGAUCCGGAGGAACACCAGCGGCGAAGGCGGCAUCCUGGACUGGUCCUGACACUCAGGAGCGAAAGCGUGGGGAGCGAGUCCGG